rnacentral:rRNA from 1 species
UACGAAGGGGGCUAGCGUUGCUCGGAAUCACUGGGCGUAAAGCGCACGUAGGCGGAUUGUUAAGUCAGGGGUGAAAUCCUGGAGCUCAACUCCAGAACUGCCUUUGAUACUGACGGUCUUGAGUUCGGGAGAGGUGAGUGGAACUGCGAGUGUAGAGGUGAAAUUCGUAGAUAUUCGCAAGAACACCAGUGGCGAAGGCGGCUCACUG